UUCUCGGGUGCUAUCUAUAUGCACUUCAACCUGUAUGUCUGCAGAAGUAAAAUUUUCAGCCAGGUUUGACUUGAAAAAGUAGUCUGUGAUAAAUACCUGUGGCUUGGCAAGAAGCAGCACAUCACGAUGGAUACCAGAUAACCACCAAUGAUCUUGAUCUUCAAGGUAAGACCCAUCACACCAUCUUAGAACUUGAACAGCCAGAACAUUAUUUUUGCCGGAAUCAUAUGGAUAACAGUAAUCUGUGAUUUCAAACUCUGCAGGUAGCCUACUAUCCUGACUAUAUCCCACAGGCACACCAUUUAUCCAAGCACAAAAUGCAGAAUCAACAGCUUCAAAGUGCAGUAAAAUCCUACGACCCUGCCAUUCUUUAGGAAUUUGGAAGCAUGUUCUAUAGCAGCCAGUAGGAUUAUCCUCAGGAACGUGUGGAGGAUCAAGUGGAAAUGGAUAUACCACAUUGGUAUAAAUGGGACGAUCAAACCCAUGUGUCUGCCAAUUUGAAGGAACUGGCAAAGUUUCCCAACCAGAGUCCUGAAAUGCCGGGUCAUAAAAUUUCAUAGGAAUUUUGGUAGGGCUUGGAGCCAAAAAAAAUUUCCAAAACCCAGACAAAGACUUGACAAAAGGCAAGUCCUUAGCCCAAAAAGCAGCAGAAUCAAGAGCUCCUUGAACAGCGUCAUCAUUCCAAACAGCAGACUUGGAUACCAAAACAUCCACUUUAUUUCGCUCGUACCAGUAUUUAAGAGAUCCUCCAACAGAUUCAUGGCAGUGUAAAGUGACAUGAGGAUCUCUCUUUCUCCACUUUAUAAAUGACGGAUCCUCCCAAACCCUGUGUCCACUUUCCAAUGGAGACAGCAUUUGUGCGCCGAGAGAUGACAUCCCACCAUAAAAACUACACUCAAACCACAAUCAAAGAUCAAUCUCAUAUACACACACAUACCCAGAAAGCAAGC
rnacentral:misc_RNA from 1 species